AUGAUGGACUAUAGGACAGGACUGCUGCUGCUCACUGUCUGUUGGGCAGGUGUUGAUGGUCAGACUCUGACAGAAUCUGAUUCAGUGACUAAAAGGCCUGGAGAAUCUCACAGAUUGACCUGUACAGCCUCUGGAUUCACAUUCAGUAGCUCCUACAUGGCCUGGAUCAGACAGGCUCCUGGGAAAGGACUGGAAUGGAUCGCUUUGAUCCACCCUACUAGCAGUAGCACCCAGUACUACUCUGAGUCAGUGAAAGGCCGGUUCACCAUCUCCAGAGACAACAACAGACAGCAGGUGUAUCUGCAGAUGAACAGUCUGACGGCUGUAGACUCUGCUGUUUAUUACUGUGCUCGAGACACACAGUGA